UACGAUUGUACUGUACCCAUGAUAAAGACCGCAAGCGAAGCCAAAUCCGCAGAAAAAAAUAAAAAUCCCAAAUCCCCCUUCGCGAUCGCCUCCGGUUCCGAGUUCCGACCCUUCCCUCCCGGCCACCCGUCGCUUCCGCCGCGAGCUCGAGCUCGAUUCCCUAGAUAAGCGCCAAUGGGCUUCAUCCAGAGCACGUUCUCCCUUCUCGUGGGCACCGGGUGCGGCAUCUACAUCGCCCAGAACUACGAAGUCCCGAACAUGAAGAAGCUCAUCUGGGGCCUGGUGGGCAAGGCCAAGGAGGUGGAGGACUCGUACAAGAAGCCCAGCGGCAGCGGCAACAGCAAGAACUAAUCCCGUCAAGCUUCUGUCCAUCCAUGACCGCCUUAUAGCAGGCUGAAAAUUGUUAAUUACUUAGGUCUGGUUAUCAUCAGUCGAGCAAAUGACUCUUUCCACUCUGUUUCUCCCUCCGUUUCGAGACUCUGUCUCUGGAACAGUUGGUCGCACGAUUAUGAAAGUUGAAUGAGUUGUGCAUGCGUGAUUCAUGGCCUCUGUGUCGACUGCAUUCUGAUGAUUAAUUACUAGUUUAUUCCAGAGUUUGCAAA